GACGAACGCUGGCGGCGUGCUUAACACAUGCAAGUCGAACGGAAAGGCCCUGCUUUUGUGGGGUGCUCGAGUGGCGAACGGGUGAGUAACACGUGAGUAACCUGCCCUUGACUUUGGGAUAACUUCAGGAAACUGGGGCUAAUACCGGAUAGGAGCUCCUGCUGCAUGGUGGGGGUUGGAAAGUUUCGGCGGUUGGGGAUGGACUCGCGGCUUAUCAGCUUGUUGGUGGGGUAAUGGCUUACCAAGGCUUUGACGGGUAGCCGGCCUGAGAGGGUGACCGGCCACAUUGGGACUGAGAUACGGCCCAGACUCCUACGGGAGGCAGCAGUGGGGAAUAGUGCACAAUGGGCGGAAGCCUGAUGCAGCAACGCCGCGUGCGGGAUGACGGCCUUCGGGUUGUAAACCGCUUUCGCCUGUGACGAAGCGUGAGUGACGGUAAUGGGUAAAGAAGCACCGGCUAACUACGU
rnacentral:rRNA from 1 species